AGAGUUUGAUCAUGGCUCAGAACGAACGCUGGCGGCAUGCCUAACACAUGCAAGUCGAACGUGAUCCAGGUUUCGGCCUGGUGAAAGUGGCAGACGGGUGAGUAACGCGUGGGAACCUGCCCUGUGGUAGGGAAUAACCGUGGGAAACUGCGGCUAAUACCCUAUGAGUCCUUCGGGAGAAAGAUUUAUCGCCAUAGGAGGGGCCCGCGUCGGAUUAGGUAGUUGGUGGGGUAACGGCCUACCAAGCCUUCGAUCCGUAGCUGGUCUGAGAGGAUGAUCAGCCACACUGGGACUGAGAUACGGCCCAGACUCCUACGGGAGGCAGCAGUGGGGAAUAUUGGACAAUGGGGGCAACCCUGAUCCAGCAAUGCCGCGUGGAUGAUGAAGGCCUUCGGGUUGUAAAGUCCUUUCGGCGGGGAAGAUGAUGACGGUACCCGCAGAAGAAGCCCCGGCUAACUUCGUGCCAGCAGCCGCGGUAAUACGAAGGGGGCUAGCGUUGUUCGGAAUUACUGGGCGUAAAGGGCGCGUAGGCUGUGCUGUAAGUCAGGCGUGAAAGCCCCGGGCUCAACCUGGGAAUUGCGCUUGAUACUGCGGCGCUGGAAGGUGGGAGAGGAUGGCGGAAUUCCCAGUGUAGAGGUGAAAUUCGUAGAUAUUGGGAAGAACACCGGUGGCGAAGGCGGCCAUCUGGCCCACCAUUGACGCUGAGGCGCGAAAGCGUGGGGAGCAAACAGGAUUAGAUACCCUGGUAGUCCACGCUGUAAACGAUGAGUGCUAGACGUCGGGGAGCUUGCUCUUCGGUGUCGCCGCUAACGCAUUAAGCACUCCGCCUGGGGAGUACGGUCGCAAGAUUAAACUCAAAGGAAUUGACGGGGGCCCGCACAAGCGGUGGAGCAUGUGGUUUAA
rnacentral:rRNA from 1 species